rnacentral:rRNA from 1 species
CCUACGGGUGACAGCAGUGAGGAAUAUUGGUCAAUGGGCGCGAGCCUGAACCAGCCAAGUCGCGUGAGGGAAGACGGCCCUAUGGAUUGUAAACCUCUUUUGUCGGGGAGCAAAAGACGCCACGCGUGCCGUUCUUAGAGUACCCGAAGAAAAAGCAUCGGCUAACUCCGUGCCAGCAGCCGCGGUAAUACGGAGGAUUCGAGCGUUAUCCGGAUUUAUUGGGUUUAAAGGGGGCGCAGGGGGAGGAUAAAGUCAGCGUUAAAAUUGAGGGGCUCAACCUCUUCUAGCCGUUGAAACUGGUUGUCUUGAGUGAGUGAGAAGUAGGCGGAAUGCGUGGUGUAGCGGUGAAAUGCAUAGAUAUCACGCAGAACUCCGAUUGCGAAGGCAGCAUACCGGCGUGCAACUGACGCUGAUGCACGAAAGUGUGGGUAUCGAACAGGAUUAGAUACCCCAGUAGUC